rnacentral:rRNA from 1 species
GAGUUUGAUCCUGGCUCAGGACGAACGCUGGCGGCGCGCCUAACACAUGCAAGUCGAACGGAGCUUAGAGAGCUUGCUUUUUAAGCUUAGUGGCGAACGGGUGAGUAACGCGUGAGUAACCUGCCCUAGAGUGGGGGACAACAGUUGGAAACGACUGCUAAUACCGCAUAAGCCCACGGAACCGCAUCGGAUACUGAGGGAAAAGGAUUUAUUCGCUUUAGGAUGGACUCGCGUCCAAUUAGCUAGUUGGUGAGGUAACGGCCCACCAAGGCGACGAUUGGUAGCCGGACUGAGAGGUUGAACGGCCACAUUGGGACUGAGACACGGCCCAGACUCCUACGGGAGGCAGCAGUGGGGGAUAUUGCACAAUGGGGGAAACCCUGAUGCAGCGACGCCGCGUGGAGGAAGAAGGUUUUCGGAUUGUAAACUCCUGUCGUUAGGGACGAUAAUGACGGUACCUAACAAGAAAGCACCGGCUAACUACGUGCCAGCAGCCGCGGUAAUAC